rnacentral:lncRNA from 1 species
AAAGUGUCAAAUCAGGACAUAGGUGAUUGUGUUCAUCAUUUACAGACUGUAUUUCCUGGGUCAAGCUGCUUAAUGCUUUCAACUUUUCUUUAGCCUCCUGAAAAUGGGGAACCAUACUUUCCACUUAUCCAAGCAUUUGCUCACGCAUUUAUCAAUCACGUAACACCUUUGAAUGCCAGGCCGACAACGGAAGAUAGGGUCCUGACUCACUAGAUGGUCUCAGGAGAGCAGAGAAUAAUGCUUCAUUUACAAUGUUGCUUCAAGAAUUAAAUAAAAUAAGGCAGUUAAAAAUAUUCUGUGAACCGAAUAGCACAUUAUGAAAAGAUAUUAACACUUCUUACUUUCUUAUAGCAAUUUCUAAAUGACUUAAUUUCUCUCAUCAAAAUAUCCCCCUUGUGUUGACCUAGACCAUCAGAUUGCAAAAUAAAGCCCUGAUGUAACUGAUGGGAUGAAGAACGUCGCAUGGACAUUAUAUUAGGGGCUGGGGCCACUGUUAGCAAUCCUGGCAGCAUGGUGUUCCUUCUUGACCAUUCAAGAUUCUGUCCAGUGUUUGGAAAAGGCACAGGUAAGGAGUCAAAAGACCUGGAUAUGGGCAUUGGGAUGGUAGUGGCAGCUACUAUGGAGUCCCAGGCUCACUCUGGGCUAAGCACUGUACUAAGUGUCUCACAGAUAUGUUCUCAGAUAACCCUUGUUGCAGAUAGAGUACUGUUUUAAUCCAUGCUUUACAGAGAAAUUGAAGUUUGAAGAGGCUAUGCAACUUACCUAAGCUUAUCUCUAGCAUUUAAUUGUGCAGGAAUCUCCAGCUGGUCACUCAAACUCUUUGGACUUCAUUUAUUUUACUGUCACAUGGAGACAAUAAUAAUACCUGCCUUGGAGAGUCACCAGGAAGAUUUAUGAAAAGGAUGCAGUGAAAGUAAGUAUUAAAGCCUACAAACUUGCAAUACGUGAUUAGAAAGACUCUGAUUUUCCAGAACAAAGUCUGGAGACAUAGAUUUCAAUUUCCUCUCUGUGUCUGCCCAUUCCAGAUUGCUGUCAGUUGAUGUAACAAAUGUUUUCUUUCUUUCCCUAAUCUUGGACAUUUUCUUAAUAGAUUAAGAGUAAUUACUCCCAAAUGGAUACAUGAAAGCCCAAUUUCUGCCUAACAUACAUCAAACCAUUCAUAAAUAUGCAUUUCUAUUUUAUUUAUUAUUCUUCAUUCAUCUAUUUCAAGUGAAAACAAACAAAUCCACUCUUUCCAAGUAUUAAAUGAUCUCAAUGCCAAAGGUGUUUUCCUGAACACUCUUCCAGCAGAGGGCACUAUUUCUCUAUAAAGAGGGUGGUCCUUAGUUUUCCAAACUGGGAUCGUCAGAUUUUGGGAUAAUUUUCUCAGAAGCUUUACAAAUAAAUUCAGACCCAAGAAUUAAGAAUUCUGGACAAUGCCAUUUGGGUUUACUUCUUUUUAAUUUAAUUUAGUUAAUUUAUUUAUUUUUAGAGACGGGGGUGUCAUCAUGUUGGCCAGGCUGGUCUCGAACUCCUGACCUCAGGCAAUCCACCCGCCUCGGCCUCCCAAAGUGCUGGGAUUACAGGCUUGAGCCACUGUGCCCUGCCGGGUUUACUUCUUGAAAAGAAUUUUCAGUUAGUGCAGAAAUGCUGAUUUUUGCCUUCUGCCAUAUGAGGUUAGCAGGUAUCUCCUUAUUUAGAAAUCACAGAAUGUGAGAGUUAGGGUCUUACAGAUCACUUAGCCCCAGAUCACAAAGAAGCUGCCUGCUGGCCAAAUUCAGCCCACAUUCAUAUUUUGUUUGCCUUCCACAAGUUUAUUAUUACUGUUACCAGACAACCAUUAGCCAGGAGGUGGCACAUACCAUAUAGAUUUCUUAGCAUAUCUUUAAAAAAUGAAUCAGAAGCUCUCACAAUGCAGAACCAACAGGACUCCAUGGUGACAACUGGCUGAGAUUCAAUAAAUUUACACC